GUGGGGAAUAUUGGACAAUGGGCGAAAGCCUGAUCCAGCCAUGCCGCGUGUGUGAAGAAGGUCUUCGGAUUGUAAAGCACUUUAAGUUGGGAGGAAGGGCAGUAAGUUAAUACCUUGCUGUUUUGACGUUACCGACAGAAUAAGCACCGGCUAACUUCGUGCCAGCAGCCGCGGUAAUACGAAGGGUGCAAGCGUUAAUCGGAAUUACUGGGCGUAAAGCGCGCGUAGGUGGUUUUGUAAGUUGGAGGUGAAAUCCCCGGGCUCAAUCUGGGAACUGCCUCCAAAACUGCAUGACUAGAGUACGGUAGAGGGUAGUGGAAGUUCCUGUGUAGCGGUGAAAUGCGUAGAUAUAGGAAGGAACACCAGUGGCGAAGGCGACUACCUGGACUGAUACUGACACUGAGGUGCGAAAGCGUGGGGAGCAAACAGGAUUAGAAGCCCCAGUAGUCC
rnacentral:rRNA from 1 species